rnacentral:rRNA from 1 species
CCCUUUGAUACUCUGGGCGGCACGCGCGCUACACUGGUUUAUAUGACGUGUAAUUUGGACGAUAGUCUGUAUAAAUCACUAAUAUAAAGCCGUGAAUGGGAUAGUUUAUUGCAACUUACAAACUUUAACUAGGAAUCCCUUGUAGAAGUAGUGAAUUAUACUGCUUCGAAUACGUCCCUGCCGAUUGUACACACCGCCCGUCGUUUCUUCCGACUGGUACUCAUUGUGAAUUGCGAGGAGAUUCUGUCAAAUCGUUGUAAAUGCUGGGUAUUGGAGGAAGAAAAAGUCGUAACA